UACCGCAUACGAUCGUACGGAUAGAAAGGCGGGGGAUCGCAAGACCUCGCGCGUCUGGAGCGGCUGAUGGCAGAUUAGGUAGUUGGUGGGAAUAAAAGCCUACCAAGCCAACGAUCUGUAGCUGGUCUGAGAGGAUGAUCAGCCACACUGGGACUGAGACACGGCCCAGACUCCUACGGGAGGCAGCAGGUGGGGUAAUUUUGGACAAUGGGCGAAAGCCUGAUCCAGCCAUUCCGCGUGCAGGAUGAACGGCCCUCGGGUUGUAAACUGUCUUUUGUACAGAACGAAAAAGCUCUGGCUAAUACCUGGAGUCCAUGACGGUACUGUAAGAAUAAGCACCGGCUAACUACGUG
rnacentral:rRNA from 1 species